rnacentral:rRNA from 1 species
AUGAACGCUAGCUACAGGCUUAACACAUGCAAGUCGAGGGGCAUCAGGAAGAAAGCUUGCUUUCUUUGCUGGCGACCGGCGCACGGGUGAGUAACACGUAUCCAACCUGCCCUUUACUCGGGGAUAGCCUUUCGAAAGAAAGAUUAAUACCCGAUAGCAUAAUGAUUCCGCAUGGUUUCAUUAUUAAAGGAUUCCGGUAAAGGAUGGGGAUGCGUUCCAUUAGGUUGUUGGUGAGGUAACGGCUCACCAAGCCUUCGAUGGAUAGGGGUUCUGAGAGGAAGGUCCCCCACAUUGGAACUGAGACACGGUCCAAACUCCUACGGGAGGCAGCAGUGAGGAAUAUUGGUCAAUGGGCGCUAGCCUGAACCAGCCAAGUAGCGUGAAGGAUGAAGGCUCUAUGGGUCGUAAACUUCUUUUAUAUAAGAAUAAAGUGCAGUAUGUAUACUGUUUUGUAUGUAUUAUAUGAAUAAGGAUCGGCUAACUCCGUGCCAGCAGCCGCGGUAAUACGGAGGAUCCGAGCGUUAUCCGGAUUUAUUGGGUUUAAAGGGAGCGUAGGUGGACUGGUAAGUCAGUUGUGAAAGUUUGCGGCUCAACCGUAAAAUUGCAGUUGAUACUGUCAGUCUUGAGUACAGUAGAGGUGGGCGGAAUUCGUGGUGUAGCGGUGAAAUGCUUAGAUAUCACGAAGAACUCCGAUUGCGAAGGCAGCUCACUGGACUGCAACUGACACUGAUGCUCGAAAGUGUGGGUAUCAAACAGGAUUAGAUACCCUGGUAGCCCACACAGUAAACGAUGAAUACUCGCUGUUUGCGAUAUACAGUAAGCGGCCAAGCGAAAGCAUUAAGUAUUCCACCUGGGGAGUACGCCGGCAACGGUGAAACUCAAAGGAAUUGACGGGGGCCCGCACAAGCGGAGGAACAUGUGGUUUAAUUCGAUGAUACGCGAGGAACCUUACCCGGGCUUAAAUUGCAGUGGAAUGAUGUGGAAACAUGUCAGUGAGCAAUCACCGCUGUGAAGGUGCUGCAUGGUUGUCGUCAGCUCGUGCCGUGAGGUGUCGGCUUAAGUGCCAUAACGAGCGCAACCCUUAUCUUUAGUUACUAACAGGUUAUGCUGAGGACUCUAGAGAGACUGCCGUCGUAAGAUGUGAGGAAGGUGGGGAUGACGUCAAAUCAGCACGGCCCUUACGUCCGGGGCUACACACGUGUUACAAUGGGGGGUACAGAAGGCAGCUAGCGGGUGACCGUAUGCUAAUCCCAAAAGCCUCUCUCAGUUCGGAUCGAAGUCUGCAACCCGACUUCGUGAAGCUGGAUUCGCUAGUAAUCGCGCAUCAGCCACGGCGCGGUGAAUACGUUCCCGGGCCUUGUACACACCGCCCGUCAAGCCAUGGGAGCCGGGGGUGCCUGAAGUUCGUGACCGCAAGGAGCGACCUAGGGCAAAACUGGUGACUGGGGCU